ACGACGAUGACGAGGAGGAGGAGGCCGCACCGUCGCUAGUCCGACGACCUCGUAGCCGCCCGGACAGUGCGCCGGCCACUACUGAUCGGGUGGCCAGCGACCCUCCUGCUCCGCGCGUUGUCGAGAUGGGGGCGCAGGUGCCGACCGGCCGGGCAAGGAGGAGGUUCACUGCGACCCACCGUCGUUCAGACCUAUAAGUGUUCGACUUACGUAUUUUAGCGAUUUUUUUUUCGUUUUUUAAGAUAGUACAUUGCUGUUUUAGCGCGGCGUCGGAUGUCAACCCCGACCACGUCGCCGGCCAGGGGGUGGUCGAGCCUGCUUGUGCUGCUGAGGACGCGGCGCCGCAGACCGCGGAGCAGCCUGCGGCUGCAUCCGUUUAUCUACCGCGGAGCAGCCUGCGGCUGCAGCCGUGCCUGAGAGAACCG
rnacentral:lncRNA from 1 species